GGGGCCGUAGUCCAGCUAGGUUAGGAUACGCGGCUUGGGCCCGCGUGGUCGCCGGUUCAAAUCCGGCCGGCCCCA
rnacentral:tRNA from 1 species